UACAGGGGGUGCAAACGUUGCUCGGAAUCAUUGGGCGUAAAGCGCACGUAGGCGGUUCGUUAUGUCGGAUGUGAAAGCCCUUGGCUUAACCGAGGAAGUGCAUCCGAAACUGGCGAGCUAGAGUACGAAAGAGGAUCGCGGAAUUCCCGGUGUAGAGGUGAAAUGCAUAGAUAUCUGGAGGAACACCGGUGGCGAAGGCGGCAUCCUGGACCGGCAUUGACGCUGAACAGCGAAAGCCAGGGGAGCAAACGGG
rnacentral:rRNA from 1 species